UCUGGACUCUUGAACCCUUCCUUUGUAGUUUAUUUCCACCUUCAUCGUCAUCUUCAUUGCUUCGACCUCAGCCGUAGGAUUAGGUUUCUCGCUCCUCUCUUCCAGGAACUUCUCGACGUUACAAACGCCAUUUUCAUCGUUCAUCUCCACCUUCAUCGUCAUCUUCGUUGCUUCGACCUUAGCCGUAGAAUUAGGUUUCUCGCUCCUCUCUUCCAGGAACUUCUCGAUGUUAUAGACGCCAUCGCAAAUGACACCGUUUCGGCGCUCUUCUCUGUCUGAGAUUGUGGCGCCGGCCAAGGGGUGCCACGACCCGAAUCCGUGGAUCCGUCAAUUCUCGCAAAGGGGGCCAUCAAUUUCGAGGGAAUGGGGUUGAGUUAACCUCGAGUCUUGGGUCUGCUGUGCUUCCUUGGUCGAUUGAGCUUCUAAUGAUGUUUCGUUAACAAGUUUAGGUCAAUGCGGCUCUCAUGGGGUUUCUAACCGAUGCAUGAGUUACACUGUCACAAAAUGGUUACAUUUUUUCAAAAUAUCAGAAAAUUCAAUGAUGCACAUACAUAUUUUCUUGGAAAAUUGUAAUGCACAUACAUAUUAGGAUUGCAUGUUCUGCUAACACAGAUUUAUGGUGAAGAUGAAUGGUCAUUUGGUUCUGGGAGCAAGGUACUGGAGUUUUUAGUUGCCCUUCUGGAAAAAAUCCAACGUAUACUCUCUAUUUAGAUUUCAAUUAUUUUGUCACUUUUAUGCCAAACAAUUUUUCCUAGCUUCAUGUUCUAGCAUUUGUUAUUAAUUAAUAUAGUUUGAUGUAAGUAUAUAGUUGAGCCUUAGUUGUAUUUUACUUAUUACACUCUCUGUGCUUUUCCUUCUUUUGUCAUUGUCCUUUCUCUUUUUUAAUCUGUUACUUGGCCAGACAAUGACUCAAUCGGAACAAUAAAAGAUAGAAAGAAAGAAUACUUUUAAGAAGAAAGGUAAGUUGGAUUUUUACACGAGGUAAGUGUCAUCUGUCAUGUUAAAAUUAGAAGUGUUAUGUUGACGGAUAUAGAGGAGGUAGAUGUAAUUUCCUCUAACAUUUAUGAAUGACUAAUAUUCCCAUUCUAUUUACUUCUAUUGUAAGUCAUCUAUUUUUCUCCUUCUGCACUCUUUCUGUUUUAUGUUUUCUAUUUUGGUUCCUUCUUUCUCCUUUCAUUAUGCUUCUGGUUCUUGGUGUUCUUUGGCUAGUAUAAGAAGGCUUUCAAAGAGAAAAGGAAUGAAUUCUCUCCAUUUUUGUUCCUUAAUUCUUUUUGUUUCUUCAGGAUGAGUUUUUGGAUCCGGUAGUGAAAGAAAAUCUCAAUGUUCUUCAAUUGUGUGAAAUUGCAGUCGGUAAAGCAUGUUAUUUUAACUUCCUCAAUUGCUGCUGUUAUAUUUAAUGGAAGGCUUCUGACUCCUAAAGCAGUAGUUGAUGACACCUGGUUUUUCGAUCACGAACUUUGUAAGGAGUCGAAGUCAUGGUACUGGUAUGUGCUUUCAAAGACAUUGGCUGAAGAUGCUGCUUGAAAAUUUGCCAAAAAAAAAUUAACCCAGCAAUGGUGAUUGGACCUCUUCUGCAACCAGUACUUAACACAAGUGCUGCUGGUGUUUUGAAUGUAACUAAUGGAGAAGAAGCCUUAUUCCGAUAAAGUUGCUAAGCUUAAAACAAAAUAUGAGAAGGCUAUGGAAAGUUAUAAUGCUGCUGAAGCAGGAGGAGAAAAGGGAGAAGGAGAAGGAGAGCAUGAAGAGGGUUGAUGAAAAAUAUGAUCACGAAGAAGCUGCGACCAGUAAAGACGAGGAGUUCACGAUGCACUUUACUCGGGGGUUUUAUCAUUUAGAUGUUAGUACUAUUCAAAUGCCUUUGCGCUGCAAAAUCUUUGUGUUGGCCUCUUGGAAUAUUCUUCAAAGGCACUUGGUUUAUACUUAUUUCAUUGUUUUCCACUUCUCCCCA